UACGAAGGGGGCUAGCGUUGCUCGGAAUCACUGGGCGUAAAGCGCACGUAGGCGGAUUGUUAAGUCAGGGGUGAAAUCCUGGAGCUCAACUCCAGAACUGCCUUUGAUACUGGCGAUCUCGAGUCCGGGAGAGGUGAGUGGAAUUCCCAGUGUAGAGGUGAAAUUCGUAGAUAUUGGGAAGAACACCGGUGGCGAAGGCGGCGACCUGGUCCAAGACUGACGCUGAGGCGCGAAAGCGUGGGGAGCAAACAGG
rnacentral:rRNA from 1 species